CAUGUCACCUGCAUUGGCAGGCGGGUUCCUAACCUCUGAGCCACUAGGGAAGCCCUAGAUAAUACAUUUAUGUGGUUCAAGAUUUACAAGCUACAAAAUAGGACCUAGUGAAAAUCUUCCUUUCAGCCCGCCUCAGGAUACCUAGUUCUUUUCUCAAGAUGCAACUGAUGUCAUCUGUCGUCACACACGUGUACUGCCUGCCCUCCGCACGUGCGGAUGCAGGACCACAGAUACAGGGGUGGGGGUGGGGUGACUGUAUAGGACCAUCGACUUUAAGGGACUUGAACAUCCGUGGAUUUUGGUGUCUACAGGGGGUCCUGGAACCCAUGCCCUGUGAAUACUGAGCAGCAACCGUAUAUGCUUCCAGAUGUUAUUUUUAAUGUACAACCAACCAGGUGUGUGUGUGUGUAUGUAGGUCUAUACAUGUGCAUAUACACAGACAGCCGUGUGUGCAUACAGUGGUGGGCAGAGUGAUGCGCUGCCGUUGAGAACUGGCUGCUGGGAAGGAGGGCCUGAUUAUGUGGUGGCAGAACGUUGAGCCAGUGGUUGCCAUGGUAACAUGGAAACCAGAAAUGCUUGUAAUGACCGGAUGGAUCUGGCUCAGAUUUCCAGGCAAAACGGUCAAAGUGCCUGCUGGUUUCUUUAUGCUAAAUUUCCUCGUCUCUGAACCUUAUCUUUAUAGCCUUUGUCCUUAAAAAACUUCUGCCACUAGUGUCUUACUAGGGAACUUAGACCUUUGUAAUAUGAAUGGCAGAUGUUUUUCUAACUGUGUCAUCUGUCUCAUGAGUCUGCUUAGCGUGGGCUGUCAUACAGAAGUUACUAUUACUGGUAUCACGUGAUCAAACCUGUUUUCUUUUCUUCCAGUUUCUGAAUUUGUAUUGUGGAUACACAGCUCCCCAAAUCCAAGAUUAUUUUAUAACCUAGCAUUUUUCUUGAUUAUGUUUGUGGCUUUCUUUUAAAAAUAAUUUUGUUCUGAUUUAUUAUUUUUGUGGAUGUAGGAAUGACUACACAGUUGUGCUCACAUUACUGAGACACCAACUCUGUCAUAAACACAGUUCUCAUAAAUGUUUGCAUCUAUUUCUGGACUUUUUAUUCUGAUCCAUUGACUCUUCUGUCUACUCACGUGUAGGUCCUACAGUGUUUUAGAGAAGGUGGGUUUAAACUAUGUUUUAAUAUCUGGUAGGGCUUUCUUCUCUUUUCAGAUGUUCCUUUCUGUUUUCACCUGGUUUUCCACACCAAUUUGACAUCAUUCAAGAAUAUUGGACACACACACAAUCUAUUGGUACUGUGAUGGGGUGAUGGUAGAUUUGAUUUUGGAAGUCAUUUUGGAAGUGUGGGCCUGUCAUUCUGUAGAUCUUCUGAUGCAAGAAUGUGAUAUAUGUUCCCCUUAUUCUAGGCUGAUUCUGAGCCCCCAGGAGCGUAUUAAAGUUCUCUUCAUAAGGAACCUGCAUAUUUUAUUCUUAGGAAUUUUAUCUUUGUGGUCGGGCUGUCCCUGCCUUUUUAAGGGAAUUACUUCUUGUGUUCUAUCUUCUAAUUAGUUGUGUUAUAAGGUAAGCCAUUCUUUACAUAUUGCUUCUUUUUCUUUUCUUUUCGCCUGCACUGUUACACAAAGUCUCUCUUCUCUCUGUGACUCCCACUUUGCCCCCAUCCCCACUGCGCUUGUCACAUCCAACCUCCCCGUUCAGGGGAUCUUCCGACCCUGGGGCUGGCAUCUGACUCAGGCGGCUUCAAACGAGGCAGGGCCCUUUCUCGCGGGCCGCGUGCUUGCAGCCGUUCCCCGAGCUGUGCAGCUCUGCUGCUCAGAUGCCUUGUUUUUCACAAAGACAAUUCUAAUCCGCAGAGAAGAUGACAUGGUGAAUGCAGAGAUCAGCAACGGAGCUGGGCCUGGCCUGACGACAUCAACCCCGGACCAAGCCCCAAAACCCAAAGCCAACAAUCCCCCAGAUCCCACGAAGCCCUAUCUGGAGGAGGACACAGUUGCUGUAUUUGUGCCUUACCUUCGGGACCUGGUGCAGACGGUUCACGACGACUCUGAAGUGGCUGGCAUUUUCUGCUCCCCGCUUCUGUGUGCUUGCCAGGGGUUCAGAAAGCCUCUCCUAGUCUGACUCCUGAUGCAAAGGCGGCUUUUGGAUUCAGAGUUUGAGCUGCGAGAUAAGUGGGAUCUUCGUUUCCGGACCAGGGACUGAACCCAUAACCCACUGCACUGAAGGUGAAAUCUUAGCUACUGGACCACCAGGGACGUCCCCACAGCAUCAUUUUUUACAAUAACCAAAAGGCAGAUCAACCCAAAUGCCCAGAAUCGUUAAGUCCAUAGAGACAGAAAGCACGUUAGCAUCUGUUAUGGGGUGGGGGGUGGGGGGUGUGACUGAUGGGUACAGGGUCUCUUUCUGACACGAGAAAGUUACAGAAUUAAAGAUGGUGGUCGCACAACCCUGUGAGUGGACUUAUAUGCCACUGAAGUGUUCAUUAUAAAGUGGUUAGUUUUACGGGAUGUGAAUUUCACCUCAACAAAAAUAAACUGUUAAAAACCAGGGCGGUACUUGAGAACCAGGUGGAAUCAACCAUGAGCACCACCAAGAUUUGCUCCUCCAGGAAGGAUCUGGGUCGUAACACCAGAGCCAGGAUGACCCUUGAUGAAGGACAGGUCUGUGGUUAAGGACGUGGGGAAUUGUUUGCUGCUAAUUAACAAAAGUGAAAUACUCCGAUGGUGACAAGAUGCUAAGGUAACAACUCCAAAUGUGAAGAAAGUAGUGACCUGGCCCUCAGGGCCUUCUAGGGGUAGAAACAGUCGGAAAACAAACCAUUAUGUGAUAAAUUGAGUGCCAGAAGGGUGCUGACCAUUUAGGGAAAACACAGAAGGAAAUGACUACUUCCCUGAAAUGUCAAACAAGCACACCUCCGAGUUGGGGGGUCUUUUAGGGUCCCCGGUCAUGGGGAAGGAGGGGAACUCAGAAGGAAAGCGCCUGAAGGCAUCUUUAAGAUGCAGUUAAAAAUGCCCGUUUUCUAGUGAGGUUAGAGUUCCUGUAUCCUCAGGCACUCCCUGCCCCCAGUGCCUCCACUAGGUCUUCUCAGCAGCUCCCUUGUUCCUGAUCCACGACUGUUUUGAACCUCAAAUCCCACCCCCACCCCCCAUUUUAAGACAACGACUGCACCCUUCUCCCCCUGAAACGGAAGCUGCCACUGUGAAAUGCCUUCACCUUCCCAGGCUGCGCCCACAGGUCUCCCCGCUUCUUGGCUGCCUCCUGCUGCUCUGGGGCCCCCAGAUCAGGACCUGACCUCCGCACCCCCGUGCUGCAGAGUCCCUGCCUUCAAGUUCCCCUGUUUACAUCCUAUCAGUGUGGGACGGUACAACUGAGGAACCGGUACUGCUGCACUCUCAUCAACUGAGUCUAUCGUUUCCACAUCUUACAACCUGUGGGUUUUGACAAAGGUAUCUACCAUGACAGGCAGAGUCCUCUCACUGCCCUGAAAAUCCUCUGUGCUCACUUAUUCCUCCUGCCUUCUCCCAAGUUCUAGCAACCACUCAUCUUUGACUAUCGCCAUAGUUUUGCUCUUUACAAAAUGUUAUACUUGGCAUCACGGUCUAUGAGCCUUUCAGCCUCGCUGCGUUUGCUCAGGGGUACACAUUUAAGGCUCCUCCAUGCCUGUCCAUGGAGUGACAGCUCAUUUCUUUUCAGUGCUGGGUAAUAAUCUGCUGACCGGAAUAACCGUGAGUACCCCUGCAUCGGCCGAAGGCAUCUUGGUUGUUUGCAAUGCUGGGUGACUUUGGUGAAGCUGCU